GUUGUGGUCUGGGAACAGUAUAUGUAACAUAACAUAUAUAUUUUCCUGUUGUGAUGGAUUCCAUUUUAUGACCUAAUUGAUCCUAAUUUUAAACUAACAAUUGUUUUAAUAGAAAGAGUUAGUUCCCUUUGAAUACAAAAGUUUGAGCUGAAUAAUGAAAUCCAACGUAAUUUGGAGGGUUUAAAAAGCACCCAAUUAUAUGCAACCGGUUACCC
rnacentral:lncRNA from 1 species